rnacentral:rRNA from 1 species
GUGACGAAGCGACGCCGCGUGUGGGAAGAAGGCCUUCGGGUUGUAAACCACUGUCGGGAGUUAAGAAAUGUAAGGGUGUUAAUAGCAUCCUUACUUGACUAAGGCUCCGGAGGAAGCCACGGCUAACUCUGUGCCAGCAGCCGCGGUAAUACAGAGGCGGCAAGCGUUGUUCGGAAUUAUUGGGCGUAAAGAGCACGUAGGCGGCCGUGCAAGUCGGUUGUGAAAGCCUUCCGUUUAACGGAAGAACAGCAGCCGAUACUGCAUAGCUUGAGUGCGGAAGGGGAGAGUGGAACUUCUGGUGGAGCGGUGAAAUGCGUAGAUAUCAGAAGGAACGCCGGCGGCGAAAGCGGCUCUCUGGUCCGUAACUGACGCUGAGUGUGCGAAAGCUAGGGGAGGAAACGGGAUUAGAUACCCCGGUAGUCCUGGCCGUAAACGAU